GACGAACGCUGGCGGCGUGCUUAACACAUGCAAGUCGAGCGAGGUCCAACCGGUGGCAACACCGGGGAAGACCUAGCGGCGAACGGGUGAGUAACACGUGAGGAACCUGUCCCGAAGACCGGGAUAACACCGGGAAACCGGUGCUAAUACCGGAUACCCUUCUCUGGUCGCAUGGCCUAGGAAGGAAAUGGAUUCCGCUUCGGGAGGGUCUCGCGGGCUAUCAGCUUGUUGGUGGGGUAACGGCCUACCAAGGCGACGACGGCUAGCUGGUCUGAGAGGACGACCAGCCACACUGGGACUGAGACACGGCCCAGACUCCUACGGGAGGCAGCAGUGGGGAAUCUUGCGCAAUGGGCGAAAGCCUGACGCAGCAACGCCGCGUGGGGGAUGAAGGCCUUCGGGUUGUAAACCCCUUUCAGCAGGGACGAAACUGACGGUACCUGCAGAAGAAG
rnacentral:rRNA from 1 species